rnacentral:sRNA from 1 species
AACCAAAUUAAACGCUUCCAUUUUGAAAUGAAAAGGGGAAUGAAAGAUGGGAACGAUCGUUUGUCAAGACUGUAACGAAACCAUUCAGCAUUUUGAAGAUGAAAAGGUGACGAUUCUUUACGGAACAUGCGGACAGUGCAACUGCCAUCUUGAAGAAGAGAACUAAAAAAAGGCAUGCGGCUUUAGAUUCAAUCUGCCGCAUGCCUU